CAACAGUUGGAAACGACUGCUAAUACCGCAUAAGCCCACGGGUCGGCAUCGACCAGAGGGAAAAGGAGCAAUCCGCUUUGAGAUGGCCUCGCGUCCGAUUAGCUAGUUGGUGAGGUAACGGCCCACCAAGGCGACGAUCGGUAGCCGGACUGAGAGGUUGAACGGCCACAUUGGGACUGAGACACGGCCCAGACUCCUACGGGAGGCAGCAGUGGGGAAUAUUGCACAAUGGGGGAAACCCUGAUGCAGCGACGCCGCGUGGAGGAAGAAGGUCUUCGGAUUGUAAACUCCUGUUGUUGAGGAAGAUAAUGACGGUACUCAACAAGGAAGUGACGGCUAACUACGUGCCAGCAGCCGCGGUAAAACGUAGGUCACAAGCGUUGUCCGGAAUUACUGGGUGUAAAGGGAGCGCAGGCGGGAAGACAAGUUGGAAGUGAAAUCUAUGGGCUCAACCCAUAAACUGCUUUCAAAACUGUUUUUCUUGAGUAGUGCAGAGGUAGGCGGAAUUCCCGGUGUAGCGGUGGAAUGCGUAGAUAUCGGGAGGAACACCAGUGGCGAAGGCGGCCUACUGGGCACCAACUGACGCUGAGGCUCGAAAGUGUGGGUAGCAAACAGGAUUAGAUACCCUGGUAGUCCACACCGU
rnacentral:rRNA from 1 species